rnacentral:rRNA from 1 species
GGAGCUGGUAUCAGGCUCGCCCAAGACAUCUAGUUACCCCACACCCUCAAGGGCCUUCAGCAGUGAUCAACAUUAAAUAUUAACGUCAGUUUGAUUUAGUCAACGAAAACAGAGCCGGCCAAUCUGGUGCCAGCCGCCGCGGUUACACCAUGUGGCUCAAAUUGAUUCGGCGUAAAGCGUGAUUAAAGUAGGGUUAAACUCCAACUAAGCUGUAACACGCUUGUUUCCUGAAAAUCAAACCCGAAAGAUACCCUAUACCCAUCCACUUGAACUCACAACAACUAGGACACAAACUGGGAUUAGAUACCCCACUAUGCCUAGUCGUAAACUUUAACUUACACCGCCCGAGAACUACGAGCAAAGCUUAAAACUCAAAGGACUUGACGGUGCCCCAUAUCCCCCUAGAGGAGCCUGUCCUAUAAUCGAUACCCCCCGUUUAACCUCACCACUCUUAGCAGCCUGUAUACUUCCGUCGUCAGCUUACCGCGUGAGCGAGUGAGCCCAAUGCCCAAACGUCAGGUCAAAGUGCAGCUAAUAAAGUGGGAAGAGAUGGGCUACACUUUCUACUGUAGAAAAUACGGAAAUUAUAUGAAACAGAAGGUGGAUUUAGUAGUAANNANNNGAUAGAGUACUCUUUUUAACCCGCACUGAGGCG